AUUGAACGCUGGCGGCAGGCCUAACACAUGCAAGUCGAGCGGAGCGGCGGACGGGUGAGUAAUGCCUAGGAAUCUGCCUGGUAGUGGGGGAUAACGUCCGGAACCGGGGGCUAAUACCGCAUACUAUCAGAUGAGCCUAGGUCGGAGUAGCUAGUUGGUGGGGUAAAGGCCUACCAUGGCGACGAUCCGUCACUGGUCUGAGAGGAUGAUCAGUCACACUGGAACUGAGACACCGUCCAUACGCCUACGGGAGGCAGCAGUGGGGAAUAUUGGGCAAUGGUCGAAAGCCUGACCCAGCCAUGCCGCGUGUGUUAAGAAGGUCUUCGGUGUGUAAAGCACUUUAACUUGGUAUGCGUUACCAGCAGAAUAAGCACCGGCUAACUUCGUGCCAGCAGCCGCGGUAAUAC
rnacentral:rRNA from 1 species